rnacentral:rRNA from 1 species
GAUGAACGCUAGCGGGAGGCCUAACACAUGCAAGCCGAGCGGUAUUGUUUCUUCGGAAAUGAGAGAGCGGCGUACGGUGCGGAACACGUGUGCAACCUACCUUUAUCUGGAGGAUAGCCUUUCGAAAGGAAGAUUAAUACUCCAUAAUAUAUUGACUGGCAUCAGUUGAUAUUGAAGGCUCCGGCGGAUAAAGAUGGGCACGCGCAAGAUUAGCUAGUUGGUGAGGUAACGGCUCACCAAGGCGAUGAUCUUUAGGGGGCCUGAGAGGUGAUCCCCACACUGGUACUGAGACACGGACCAGACUCCUACGGGAGGCAGCAGUGAGGAAUAUUGGUCAAUGGGUGCAAGCCUGAACCAGCCAUCCCGCGUGAAGGACGACUGCCCUAUGGGUUGUAAACUUCUUUUGUAUAGGGAUAAACCUACUCUCGUGAGGGUAGCUGAAGGUACUAUACGAAUAAGCACCGGCUAACUCCGUGCCAGCAGCCGCGGUAAU